rfam:Mycobacterium kumamotonense strain Roo Mkuma_contig000017, whole genome shotgun sequence.
UGAGGCCCGUGCCUCGUGGCCUCUGUCCGAACCGACCCUGACGUACUUCCCCAACGUCAGGUUCGCACCGUCGGGCAGGGACCUCGAGGCAGGGACCCGGCGAU